GGAAGUGUGGCUCAGUGGUAGAGCACUUAGCUAGUAUAUAAGGGCCCUGGGUUCAAUCCCCAGCACCA
rnacentral:tRNA from 1 species